CGCGUAGGCGGCCGCCUAAGUCAGACGUGAAAUCCCUCGGCUCAACCGGGGAACUGCGUCUGAUACUGGGUGGCUUGAAUCCGGGAGAGGGAUGCGGAAUUCCAGGUGUAGCGGUGAAAUGCGUAGAUAUCUGGAGGAACACCGGUGGCGAAAGCGGCUUACUGGGUCUCUUCUGACGCUGAGGUACGAAAGCUAGGGAGCAAACG
rnacentral:rRNA from 1 species